ACAUUUAUCCAGUAUUCAAGAUUAAAACCAGCAGGCAUUUAUCAAAUGUAUAUUACAGCAAUUUACUUAUUUUUCAGACCAGAACAGGAACAAGACAAAAACAAAGAACAACCAGAAGUCAGCCAAUCAGCAGGCUGAUGUCAUCAGUCUACACAGCAAACAGGAAGUGACACGUCUCGAGGCUCUGUGCGAGACUCGCACCAAGGAACUCAACUAUGCCAGGCUGCAGAUGAAGAGCAACCUGCAGGCUUUCGAUGCCAUGACCGUGAUGGUACAAUAUCUCUCAGAAGAUUUGGAUGCAUUUUCGAAUCCAAAGUUGUCAGCUCAAGUAAAAGUGCUGCAGAGACAACUGGAAGAAACCAAGACACAGAUUGGUAAGAACCUGUUACCAAACUCAGUAGACAACACGUUUGUUAAUUUCAUGCUUGAAUAAUUCAUGCCAAACAUAUCUGCAUCCAUGUAGUUUUGUGAAUCUGAUCAUUUGACAUGCUAGAAUUUGAUAUUUGGAUAAUACAAAGAGAGUUUGUGCAGAGGGUUGAUAUGGAUCUUUAUGUGAUCAUUAUGAUAAGAUAUAAGCAACUUUAACACAACUAAGCAUGUUCUAUAGGCCAAUUUUAGUUCCCUUUAAUGUUUUGAUAAGUGAAUUAUAACUAGCUGAACCAAAAUAUAAGGAAUUAUAUCGCCCAGAUAAAUCUGCUUGAGGAGCAGCUGAUCUCUAUCAUCCUGUGUUUAUUUGAUUGGCUUGGAUUAUUUAUGCAAGCUUAAGGUCUUUGAUUGCAGAGGAAACUCAGGCUCAGAAAGCUAAAUUGGAUGAGCACAUCUUACAACUGGGUAAGGACCAUUUGGACCAAAUCAAUGCCUUCAAAGUGGAGCAUGAAAAACAGAUAUCCUGGGAAAAGGAAAAACAUGAAGACAGCUUGUCAAAUUACAGGCAGCUAUGUAAGUGGAUACAAUAUCAUAUGUAUUGUUACAUGUCCUUGAUGUUUAUUGUACAAAGC
rnacentral:misc_RNA from 1 species